rnacentral:rRNA from 1 species
UGAGUAACCUGCCCUUAACUCUGGGAUAAGCCUGGGAAACUGGGUCUAAUACCGGAUAUGACUCCUCAUCGCAUGGGUGGGGGGUGGAAAGCUUUAUUGUGGUUUUGGAUGGACUCGCGGCCUAUCAGCUUGUUGGUGAGGUAAUGGCUCACCAAGGCGACGACGGGUAGCCGGCCUGAGAGGGUGACCCGGCCACACGUGGGACUGAGACACGGCCCAGACCUCCUACGGGAGGCAG